rnacentral:misc_RNA from 1 species
GAUGAAGAACGCAGCGAAAUGCGAUACGUAAUGUGAAUUGCAGAAUUCAGUGAAUCAUCGAAUCUUUGAACGCAUAUUGCGCUCUCUGGUAUUCCGGAGAGCAUGCUUGUUUGAGUAUCAGUAAACACCUCAACUCCCUUUUCUUUUUUGAGAUGGGAGCUGGACUUGAGUGAUCCCAACACUUUUCUCACUGGAAAGUGGCGGGUCACUUGAAAUGCAGGUGCAGCUGGACUUUUCUCUGAGCUAUAAGCAUAUCUAUUUAGUCUGCCUAAAAAACAGAUUAUUACCUUUGCUGCAGCUAACAUAAAGGAGAUGAGUUCUUGUGCUGACUGAUGCAGGAUUCACAGAGACAGCUUUGCGGCUGACUUUGUAAACUCGAUCUCAAAUCAAGUAAGACUACCCGCUGAACUUAAGCAUAUCAAUAAGCGGAGGA